GCUCUUAGCUCAGUCCGUAGAGCAUGAGACUCUUAAUCUCAAGGCUAUGGAUUUGAAGCUCACGUUGGGCA